rnacentral:rRNA from 1 species
AACGCUAGCUACAGGCUUAACACAUGCAAGUCGAGGGGCAGCAUGAUUGAAGCUUGCUUCAAUUGAUGGCGACCGGCGCACGGGUGAGUAACACGUAUCCAACCUUCCGUACACUCAGGGAUAGCCUUUCGAAAGAAAGAUUAAUACCUGAUGGUAUCUUAAGCACACAUGUAAUUAAGAUUAAAGAUUUAUCGGUGUACGAUGGGGAUGCGUUCCAUUAGGUAGUAGGCGAGGUAACGGCCCACCUAGCCUACGAUGGAUAGGGGUUCUGAGAGGAAGGUCCCCCACAUUGGAACUGAGACACGGUCCAAACUCCUACGGGAGGCAGCAGUGAGGAAUAUUGGUCAAUGGACGAGAGUCUGAACCAGCCAAGUAGCGUGAAGGAUGAAGGUCCUACGGAUUGUAAACUUCUUUUAUAAGGGAAUAAAACCUCCCACGUGUGGGAGCUUGUAUGUACCUUAUGAAUAAGCAUCGGCUAACUCCGUGCCAGCAGCCGCGGUAAUACGGAGGAUGCGAGCGUUAUCCGGAUUUAUUGGGUUUAAAGGGAGCGUAGGCGGGUCGUUAAGUCAGCUGUGAAAGUUUGAGGCUCAACCUUAAAAUUGCAGUUGAUACUGGCGUCCUUGAGUACGGUUGAGGCAGGCGGAAUUCGUGGUGUAGCGGUGAAAUGCUUAGAUAUCACGAAGAACUCCGAUUG